rnacentral:rRNA from 1 species
UACGGGGGGGGCAAGCGUUGUUCGGAAUUACUGGGCGUAAAGGGCUCGUAGGUGGCCAACUAAGUCAGACGUGAAAUCCCUCGGCUUAACCGGGGAACUGCGUCUGAUACUGGAUGGCUUGAGUUUGGGAGAGGGACGCGGAAUUCCAGGUGUAGCGGUGAAAUGCGUAGAGAUGCGGAGGAACACCGAUGGCGAAGGCAACCCCCUGGGCUGACACUGACGCUCAGGCACGAAAGCGUGGGGAGCAAACAGG